UGCCGGCGGCGGGGCGCUGCGCGGGCGGCCUGGCGGCGGGCGGGCGGGGCCCUCGGCCUGGCUGGCCCCGGCCCCGGGGUGGGGGGGGAGGGAAGGCAGCCGCCGGCGCGGUGGUCGUUUGCCGCCGGUGGCGGCUCCGGGCGCGCGUGGGGAACCCGCGGGGCCGCGCGUGGGGCCGCCUCGCUCCGCGCCCGCGGUGCUGCCGCGCGGGGUGCGGAGCCGCCCGUCCGCGCCUCCGCGUAAGCUGCUCUGCUGAAGCCAUUUCUGCUGUCGUUUCCCCCCCUUCUUGCUCCUGCCUUUUAACCCGAACCGUCGAGGUCUGCGUUGGGCGCAGGGGUCUUCCGCGAGCUCCUCCGUGUCUGCGCUCCCCGGAAAGUUACGGGCGCGCUGCAGAAACGGUGCAGGCCGCGUCUGCACGGUGCUUUGUCACAGGAUGGUUGUUGGAUAAGCGCUUGGUCCUGGGGCUGGUGCAGGUACUUGUGGAGCGGGAGAACUUGGUGGCUGCCGUGGCGAAGGCUCUGCGCGGGAGCUGGUGCGCGGGCCGGUGUCCUUUAGCGACUCUUUCAUGCAGGCACGGUCUUCUCCCGUGCUUGGAGUGGCCUCACGAGUAUUUUCCUCUCCAGCGUGACUGUUUUGAUGUUGAGUUAAAGCAGUGUCUCCCUACGAAUGACGCUAAGCCAUCUCUGAAUAAUUUUGGGAGGUGGGCCAGCUCUGAUAGGUGCCGUACGGAUGCAGCACCAAGCAUCGGCCCUGGGAGCUGGAGAAGAGCAGAGCUGCUGUCGGUGGCGUGUGUCCUCUGAUACCUGCACUCCCAGAAUCCUAAGUGGGCCCUCAUACUGAAAUGUAGAUUUAUGAGCUGACCUUCAUUUUAGGAUCUCAUAUUGCAUAGUCUUCUGGGACUAAAAAUACACCAGGAAGCUAAUAUGCUCUAAUAAGCAUAACUAAUACCUCUGCUCUGUAGCAGGGAAAUCAGUCAUUUAGCCUCUGUUCUACACGUGCUGUGAGAACUUGAUUUCUCCAAGAUGCAGAGCGUGUGCAGCUCCUCUGAUUUCACCUGUGGAAACCGAGUACUGAUACCCAGUGUUAUCGUGCUCAUUAAUCUUAAAUGCUCUUUAUAGUGGUGUGUCUAAGUUUACUGAAUCACUGCAUGUAGUUGGGUGAAGUCAAAAGGUUAUUACUUGUUUUAGAGUAAUACUUCUGAAUUUCUGAAACCUUAAAUUUUGAGUUGGCGUGAUCUUUGAGUAAUCCAAUGCCAUUAUUUCUAUGGACAGAGCUUUGAAAAUCUCAGAGCUGGACAAAGGUCUAGUUGUAUGUAUACAUUACAAGCUAUCAUCUGACUUCUCUAUUUAAGUUUUACAAGGGGUCUUUGUUCUUGGUUAAACUAAUAAAAUAGUCAUCUUAAAAUUGUGUUGCAGAUAGGUUCAUGCAAGCUUUGUUUUGCAGCGUGACCUCCUGCACUAAAGUACUGUUAUCUGCUUCUUUAAAAACACAACUUGAUUCCAAGCCAUGCUCAUGCUCUGAGGCUUUGUGAUUGAAACAGCUAGAAAUGUGCAUGUCACAAUGUUACUCAAACUUUUCAUUCCCUCUAGAGUUUUUGUUUUGUAAGUGCUGUCAGACAACACAUAAAUUGAACUUCUUGCCCACGAGGAGAGAUGUGAUCAUGAUAUGGAGAUGGAGAAAUGAACAAACAAUUUAGUGACUUAAAGCCUGCAGGACACUGGCAGCUAGAAAUGGAUUCCAGUCUACUGACUUUACUGUGGUAACAGUAGUAACUGUAGUAACUCACCAGAUGUAUGUUUGUACUUCAUAAAUUAAAUUUCCUAGAUUAUUCUAUUCCAAGAAGUUGAGGUCAGCAUCAAAUGGCUGUUUACUGAAAAAUGAGUAGACUGUCCACAAAUAGGAACUUCUGUUUCAUGUAGCCACUCAUAUUAUCUGUUGUUGUUUUUUGCAAAAAAUGGCAAUGUUCAUUUUGCAGCAGCUGAUUUUCUCUCCCUCUCUCUCUCUCUCCCUCUCUCUCUCUCUCCCUCUCUCUCUCUCUCCCUCUCUCUCUCUCUCCCUCUCUCUCUCUCUCUCUCUCUCUCUCUAUGUGUGUGUGUGUAUAUAUAUAUAUUUUUUUUUUCUGGUUGAUGUUGGCAUUUGGAAGAUUUGCUCAAUACCUAAGAAGGUGCAUGUAAAAAUUCAUAUCUUCUCACUGCCAAUUUCCUGUCCCUUAUUCUACCUUCCCACACUUGUCUACACUUUUAUGUGUAUGCCAAGGCAGUGGAUAGCUAGCCUAGGAUAGGCUGUGGAUAUAGGAUAGCUGUGGAUAGCUAUGGCCAUAGCCAUAGGAUAACUAUGGACAUCCUUCCAUAAUUCAGUUAAUCACUGCUACCGGGGCUCUGUUUUUCAUAUUCCUCAAGUUCUUCCUAGAGCUGUAGUAGUUGAGUGCAGUUGACCACAUAUGAUUUAAAAUGCAAUGUUAUAAAAUAGAUAACAUGAAAGUUUUAGUGCUGUACUUACAUGACUUCUAACGCACUUUCAGAUGCUCUUUUCCUUAACUUCUAUUCAGAUUCGAUGCUAGUUUCCAUUGUUGGAAUGGCACUGUACACAGGCUAUGUGUUCAUGCCUCAGCACAUCAUGGCAAUACUGCA